rnacentral:lncRNA from 1 species
GUGGGGCAGGGAGAUGUGGGGCAGGGAGAUGUGGGGCAGGGAGAUGUGGGGCAGGAUGUGGGGCAGGGAGAUGUGGGGCAGGGAGAUGUGGGGCAGGGAGAUGUGGGGCAGUUCUGCCCCCCAGAGUCACCAAAAACCCCCAAAAAUGGGUGAAAAUCCCACGGAAACGCGAAUUUUGGAGACGAUUUUGGCCGAUUUUGCUCCUUUUCGCCCCAAAUCUGGGAUUUCUGUGGGGCUCAGGGGUUACCUGGGGGACAGGUGAGCUCAGGUGGGACCCUGGCUGAGCCCAGGUGUCCCCAGGUGUAUCUCAGGUGUCCCCAGGUGUCCCCAGGUGUGCUCAGGUGUCCCCAGGUGUAUCUCAGGUGUAUUUCAGGUAUCUCAGGUGUGCCCAGGUGACCCCAGGUGCCGUUCCAGAGUACGUGGAGCACCUGAAGGAUGAGGCCCGGGUGUGCCCAGGUACCCCAGGUGUCCCCAGGUGUCCCCAGGUGUAUCUCAGGUGUAUCCCAGGUAUCUCAGGUGUCCCCAGGUGUCCCCAGGUGUCCCCAGGUGUGUUCAGGUGUCUCUCAGGUGUACCCAGGUGUAUCACAGGUAUCUCAGGUGUCCCCAGGUGUACCCCAGACUCACCUGGCAGGUGUCGGCCCCGCCCCUCGGGUCCCCAGCACACACCAUGUCGUCCCGGAUCCUCCGCGGGGGCAGCGCCGGGCCCAGGUCGGUUCCGUAGAGGCGGCGACACAGAGAGAGCGGCAACAGCGGCACCUGCAGCUCCCGGAGCCGCCGGGGGCGCUCUGAGUGACCAGAGAGUGACCACUGAGUGACCAACUGACCACUGACCCACCCUGAGUGACCCCUGAGUGACCACUGAGUGACCACUGACCACACUGACCACACAGAGCCAGCGGCAACAGCGGCACCUGCAGCUCCCGGAGCCGCCGGGGGCGCUCUGAGUGACCAGAGUGACCACUGAGUGACCACUGACCCACCCUGAGUGACCACUGAGUGACCCCUGAGUGACCACUGACCCACCCUGAGUGACCACUGAGUGACCACUGACCACACAAAGAGAGCGGCAACAGCGGCACCUGCAGCUCCCGGAGCCGCCGGGGGCGCUCUGAGUGACCAGAGAGUGACCAACUGACCACUGAGUGACCACUGAGUGACCACUGAGUGACCACUGACCCACCCUGAGUGACCACUGACUGCACUGACCACACUGACCACUGACCAUUGAGUGACCCUGAGUGACCAACUGACCACUGAGUGACCAUUGACUGACCACUGAGU